AUGAACGCUGGCGGCGUGCUUAACACAUGCAAGUCGAACGAAGCACCUCUAAUCGAAGAUUGAGAAGCUUGCUUUGAUUGAUUCACCUUGAGGUGACUGAGUGGCGGACGGGUGAGUAACGCGUGGGUAACCUACCCUAUACAGGGGGAUAACAGUUGGAAACGACUGCUAAUACCGCAUAAGCGCACAGGACCGCAUGGUCUAGUGUGAAAAAACUCCGGUGGUAUAGGAUGGACCCGCGUCUGAUUAGCUAGUUGGUGAGGUAACGGCUCACCAAGGCGACGAUCAGUAGCCGACCUGAGAGGGUGACCGGCCACAUUGGGACUGAGACACGGCCCAAACUCCUACGGGAGGCAGCAGUGGGGAAUAUUGCACAAUGGGCGAAAGCCUGAUGCAGCGACGCCGCGUGAACGAAGAAGUAUUUCGGUAUGUAAAGUUCUAUCAGCAGGGAAGAAAAAUGACGGUACCUGACUAAGAAGCUCCGGCUAAAUACGUGCCAGCCGCUGC
rnacentral:rRNA from 1 species